rnacentral:lncRNA from 1 species
GGCGAGGGUUUGGAAUUUUUAGGUCCCCCAAGCUGGACCUCCAAAUCUUUUAAUCUUCUGAAUUACCUUCCUCUGGAGAUGGUGUCUCUAGUGGUUCUUCUUCAUGAACUUCCUUUACUGUAGAGUCUGUUGGUAUUUCUUAGCGAUGCAGCCAAUUAUCCGCAAGCGCACGGAAGUACCGUUGUAGCACUUCACCCGGUGGUAUUCAGGCUAUCGAGAUUUCACAG